CUCUCCGUUCCUGUUCCCCAGAUUCCUUCCACGCGGGAGGUCGGGACCGAAAGGAAGGAGGGAGCCGAGACCCGUGUCGCGACGGGAGCCAGCGAUACCCGGCCCUGUGGAUGGGGUAUCUGGUGGGAGGACUUCAUCUUCUUAGCGUCUCCAAAACCUCCCGAGCUGGCCCCAGCUCUUUCAUGCUAGUCACAGCUCGGAUCUGGAAUUCUUGCGCUGGAGGCAGGGUUUUGGGAGGCUCUCGGAUUGAGGAAGAGAGUCCAGCGUCCCCUUUUGGUCCCUUUCCCCUUUUUAAUUGCCCCCAGACAGAAUUCCCUCUAGGUGCCAGAGCCAGCACCCUGGGGAGGAGGAACAGAGGGGAGCACGUUUUCGUGUAAAACGAAAGCCUUUUUAAAAUAAGCACUUCUCCUUAAUUCAAGAUUAUUUUCCCAGGAAGAAGCAUCAGUUCAGAGUGGAUUCAGACUGCGCGGUUUCUGAGUAUAUAUGUAUUUUGGAGGGGGCAAUUCCAACACCCUCUUCAGUUUUUUGAGGGUGGAAAAAAUAAUCUUGGUUAUUGCACCAACUCAUUCUAUACCCUGCGGUAUAGAAUAAAGGCAUCCUUUAACUUGACCACGGAGUUCUCUCUGCUUUCUCUCCCAGAGCCUUUGAACCAGGCGGGUGUGCCCUCUGGAGCCUACCUCAGCUGGACGCGCACAUUUGUAGCUGUACUCUUUUCGGAAGAGGAGGUCAGGGUGCAGGGUUCCAUGGGUUGGAAUCAAGCAAGUACUACUACUCUCCCAGAGUCUUAGCCAAUUAAACCGCUUUAUUGCAGUGUGUGAGAGGCUUCAAUUUCAACCUUGCAUUUAUUUUGGAGAGUCCUUCCCAUCUGCCAGGUCCUGAGCUGGGCGUAGGGGAUCGGGGAGGUAGAUGCUAGGAAGAGUAUUUUGAGACAUCUAACAUAUGAGUACAUCCAACCAGGCGCUGGGGGAAGAAAAUCAGGUGUUCGUGUGGGGGGAGCACCAUUCAGUGCUAGUUUCUCCUGGCAAAACAGCCAUUUUCCACUUGUCUUGUAUUUUUCCCCCAGUGUCUGCAUAUAGAGCCAAAGCAUCGAAUACCUUUAAAAUAAUUUAAACAAGGUUGCGAGUUUUGGAAAUAUCAUGUGUGAAUUUGCUUUGAUUCUUGUAUAAUUGGGGGCUGGGAAGGAAAAAGAUCAACACCAUGUCAUUGUUAGCACACAAGAAUAACUUACAAAAUGUUUUUUUGAAGUCUACUUACAGUAAUUGACUAGAAAACACCUCCCUGUUUUGUUUUUAAAGAGAAGCUGUCAACUGUCAAAUGAAGGAAUGUGGACUCCAGGAGAGAUACACCUGCAAAAAGUGCUGGCAUUCCUAGACUAACCCCACCCAUCCUGUUCUUUAAGAGUAUCUCAUUCAUCUAUCUAUCUGUCUAUCUAUCUAUCUAUCUUUGUAGUGCUGGUGCCUCAUACUUGCUAGGCAAAUAUUCUACCAUUGAGUGCACCCUCCAUCCCAAGGAUACCUUAUUUGGACCCUACUUGAUUUGAGCAGCUGGAUAUUUUUUUCUGAAAGUAAAUCCCAUAAAUGGAAAUCAUACUCAUCAUCAAACGUUUUAAUUUGGAAGUGACCUGGGUUGAGCUACGGAGCAAGAACCCAUCCUGCCAUAAUCACAGCUGAUCUCUUAGAAGCUGAAAACCCUAGAAUGAAGGUCAGGAAGGCAAUAAUUUAAAAUAGAAAAUUCCUAGCUUUAAGAAAAGAAUGAAGGCUCCAAGUGGAGCUGGGAAUUUAUAUUGUACAAAAACCCUUUGAACAAUCAUUUGACAGUAAAUGAAUUUUUUCUGGCUAUGUUUGUUGAUCUAAAUUUCCCAGUCACCCUUUGCAUGUGUGAAUUGUGAGACGGGGUCUAAGCAAAGAUGACUAAUGAAUCUUUUAGGAAUCCAUGCUUUCAAGUUGGUUUUCUGUGUGGGUCAUGGGAGCUGCUGCUCUUUAGAUACUUUAUGGGAUGGUUGUCAAGGAAACCUUGGGUAAAAUUUCGCAGGACUGUCUCUAAAAACAUUAUUCAUAAUUAAAAAAUGAUUCAUAGAAAUCACCAGAAAAAUUAUGGCAUGUUAUGUUCAAACAUGUUUUUAGGCCAUGUGGAAUAAAUAAAAUCAGGGUCUGGUUGGGUAAUACUGCCUCCCAGCCUUCCUCUGACUGUGCCAGGAGGAUCUGAUACAGAUGCACAGAUUUAAGAACAGCCUGGGUAAUAGGAAUCAAAUGACAUGGACAUUUUCUUCAGGUAUUUUUAAAAUCUUGAUGAUGCAAGUUACAAUUUUAUUUCUUCAAAAGCCCCUAAAUAGCACAGUUCAAAAAGUGAUAAGUUUGCACAAAAAGGAAUAUGGAAACCCCCACAUGACAAAAGACAGCACACUCAUUGCCACCCAGACCCACCUUGUUAUCAGCCAGCUGAUUGUGGCAGGUGUUUUGCACAUUAGUGGUGACAUCCCCAGGACCCACUCUCCUGCUACUACGCUUUGCAGGGAAAAGCAGUACAUGGAGGUGGCAAGGUAUUGGCAAUACCAACUCCUUCAGCUGGUGGUUGGUUAUGUGGGUUUAAACCCCUUCCUGGUAGAGAAGCAGGGCAGG
rnacentral:lncRNA from 1 species